rnacentral:lncRNA from 1 species
GAUCGCAGCAAUGCUCGGUGUUCUAAAAUAGCCAUGCAAUCACCUAACCUCUAUCGAUAUCCACUCAAGUAGGAUUUGGAUCAUCUUCUCCUCAUGAAUCUUUGCUCCAAAAAUUAGAUAUGGAUCUGAUCUGGAAGAUCUUCAAAAGAUCUUCUAAAGCUGGAGCAGUAGCUUCUCAACAAAUCUCUGCAGCCUUCUAAUCAGGAAGCCAC